UACUCCCUGUGUCUCGUGACGUCUCAGAUCGAUGAAGAACGCAGCGAAAUGCGAUAAGUAAUGUGAAUUGCAGAAUUCAGUGAAUCAUCGAAUCUUUGAACGCACCUUUGCGCUCCUUGGUAUUCCGAGGAGCAUGCCUGUUUGAGUGUCAUUAAAUUCUCAACCUUCCAACUUUUAUUAGCUUGGUUAGGCUUGGAUGUGGGGGUUGCGGGCUUCAUUAACGAGGUCGGCUCUCCUUAAAUGCAUUAGCGGAACUUUUGUGGACCGUCUAUUGGUGUGAUAAUUAUCUACGCCGUGGAUGUGAAGCAGCUUUAUGAAGUUCAGCUUCUAACCGUCCAUUUAUUUGGACAAUUUUUGACAAUUUGACCUCAAAUCAGGUAGGACUACCCGCUGAACUUAA
rnacentral:rRNA from 1 species